AUUGAACGCUGGCGGCAGGCCUAACACAUGCAAGCCGAACGGUAACAGGAAGCAGCUUGCUGCUUCGCUGACGAGUGGCGGACGGGUGAGUAAUGUCUGGGAAGCUGCCUGAUGGAGGGGGAUAACUACUGGAAACGGUAGCUAAUACCGCAUAAUGUCGCAAGACCAAAGAGGGGGACCUUCGGGCCUCUUGCCAUCGGAUGUGCCCAGAUGGGAUUAGCUUGUUGGUGGGGUAACGGCUCACCAAGGCGACGAUCCCUAGCUGGUCUGAGAGGAUGACCAGCCACACUGGAACUGAGACACGGUCCAGACUCCUACGGGAGGCAGCAGUGGGGAAUAUUGCACAAUGGGCGCAAGCCUGAUGCAGCCAUGCCGCGUGUAUGAAGAAGGCCUUCGGGUUGUAAAGUACUUUCAGCGGGGAGGAAGGGAGUAAAGUUAAUACCUUUGCUCAUUGACGUUACCCGCAGAAGAAGCACCGGCUAACUCCGUG
rnacentral:rRNA from 1 species